AAAUCACCCUCAAAGAGGAUACAUUUUUGUGUGGGAAGACUGAUAAAGAAACCAAGAACAGAUAUGCCCUGUGAUAAGUACUGGGAAGAAAAAUUAAACAGGGAGUGUGAUUUUAUGUCCAAUGGUCAGAGAGGGCUGUGUGAUAGGGUGACGGUUGUGGUCAGCUGCAAGGGAUUAGGGUCUAUCUACAAGAACGUAAUCCGUGUAAGGACAGACCCUGCGCUCUUGCUCAUCCCUGCAGCUCCAGUCCCCCGCAGAAGUUCUGGUUCCUGGGAGGUACUCAAUAAAUAUUUGGUGAAUGAGUGAAUGAACAAGCAGCCAUUGUCUCAGAUGUGCUGGGGAAAUAUCCACUUUAAGCUAGUUCCGCUUUUUGGACUGGGACUCGCUGAGUCAGGGGUUCAAAGAGAACAGCAUGAGGAUGGGAGUGGCAGAUGUCAUCUGCGGCAGAUGGUGAUGCCCCAGGGACCAACUGUGGCCUUGAAGAUGCUUCCCUCCACCCCCUCUGGCUCAGAAAUCAAGGUCAGGGGCAGACAACCAAGCUCAGUUCCCUGGGGUCCCGAUCCCAGCCUCUCAACCAGGCCAGCCCUUCCUGACAACAUCACCCGUGUUCCACCCUUGGACUCCACACCAGGCUCAGCAGAGUCUCAGAGGCCAAGGGUGUGAGAAGAAUCAUCCCAGCAUCUGUUAUUAACCAUUAUUUCCAUUCUUUUGGCCGAGCUCCCCCCUCGGCCCCAAAGACUCUGGGUCAGCGUUUCUUUCAGCACAAACGACCGAUUUGCCCAGGCCUUUGUUCAGCCUCACAAAAGAAGAGGAUGAUUAUUAAAAGAACAGAUUUUGCAUUCCAUCUUUACCCCAGAUGACAUUGCCUUGAUCCCUAAAAUAACUCCAGAUCUCCUGGGUGGAACUGGUUCGUUGCUUUUCAUCUUCGCUAUUUUGCAACUGUUUAUGGAGACCAUCACCAUAGCGAUAUUAUCAGAGCAGGUCAAAUGAAACUCCAAACCCUUGGGUUGUUAUUGGUUUUUCCUUUGUACCUCGGAACAUGACUUUUUCACCCCAAACCAGCUCUUUCAUUGCUUAUGAGCACUUCAGUUCUCAGCUCCAAGUCAGGAGCAGCCCCUUCUGACCGAUUCACAGAGGUGGUCCACGCUGGGACGAGGGCUGGAAGUGUUUGAGCUAAGUUUCCAAACUGGAAAACACAUUUACCAGAAAUCUCCUUUCCUUCAGAUAAAACUUGGGUCAGAGAUUCAGGGUGUUGAAAGAGGCACUAAAUAAAUAAGAAUCUGAAGGACCUUCA
rnacentral:lncRNA from 1 species